GGCUCUGUGGUGUAGACCAUAGCACCACCUGCGUAAGUCUGGAACCUAGUAAAUGGAGUAGCACACUGGGAGGAAUUCUGAGGUUGAACAAGCUUCUUUGUGCACCACAAUCUGCCUACUACUGGUGACAACUGAUAGAACACCAAGAAAAAAACGACCCCUUGGGAGUUAUAAUUAAAUAAUGGUUGCUUUUUCUUCCUAGUGGCAGCCACCCAAUGCAACCACACGAUAUUUCUGGUACGAGAUAUUUCUAGGAGACAACUGUCUAAAAGAGUUGUCUAAUAUUCCAAAAUACUCUUGAAAUGUGUUCUAAGCCAGGGUCGUCAAUGGUGCCCUUGAGGUCUUCUCCUGGCACCUCUAUGAAGCCUCUUGAGUUACCACCACUCACUGCCUCCUUGUCCCUGAGAUGGUGCCGACCUUUUCCUCCCUUGAAAAGUACAUAGAGCUGAAAGCAGGAAGUUGGAAGAAUGGCACUCUUUCUCACUUCCUCUUGCAGCUCUGUGUGCUUUUCGUGGCUCAGAUUAAUUACAGCUUUUACCGAGCUCUCGGGAAAAUGAAGUUGGUGCACUUUUUUUUUUGUCCCUUUUGGGAAGGUGGUACCCACAACACUUGCAC